rnacentral:lncRNA from 1 species
GUUUCCGCGAAUAAUCGAUCUUGCCAACUAGACCUCUCAGCGGACAUUUCACGAUUCCCGAAGAUCCGUUCGUCGGAUUUCCGAACGGAUCACGCCAGCGCGUUCAGCACGACUGGGGCAUCGAAUCUAGCAUUUUAUUUCGUCUGAUUUGGUCUCCGAUCAGCGACGAAACCUGCCCUCUCAAUCUCCACCCAUAAACCACUUACAUUAAUACAUGUAAUUUCCAAUAAACCCCUUUUUCUCGACAACCGUGCAUCAGAACCCAAUUCCGUCAGUGCCAUUGGGUCCAGAAUAGUCGAGCCAUUCG